GAUGAACGCUGGCGGUGUGCCUAAUACAUGCAAGUCGUACGCAUUCCCGUUUUUGAUUGAAGGUGCUUACACCUGAUUGAUAAAACAUCGGAAUGAGUGGCGGACGGGUGAGUAACACGUGGGUAACCUGCCCGAGAAGUGGGGGAUAACAUUUGGAAACAGAUGCUAAUACCGCAUAAUAGAUAGAACCACAUGGUUCUAUUUUGAAAGAUGGCCUUUGUGCUAUCACUU
rnacentral:rRNA from 1 species